CUUUCACUUCCGCAGGGCUCAGCAUCCCUGGGGCCUCAACCCCCUUAUCCAUCCUUGGCGCUCCUCGCAGUAAGCCCUCUCCUCAAGGUCCUGUGGCCCUCUACCUCCAGGCCCU
rnacentral:lncRNA from 1 species